UAUUCUUAGUUACUACCAUUCAAACACUAGUGUACCCGAGCAAGAUUUCAUGUCUGCUUUGGAAUUUGAAAACGAGAAACACUCGAGGAACCUACUUAAGCUUGGAGUAAGAAAGAUUGCUGUGGAGUUAGGUCCUACGGUGAAGGCAUCUGCUACAAAAAUGCAAAUCUCUGCUCGAAUCGCCAUGAAUAUUAAUUUCAAACAAUUGGCUGAGGCUUGGUUAGCCAAAACUAGUUUUUAAAGAUCCCUCCACGACAGUAAU